rnacentral:rRNA from 1 species
UCAAACUUGAGAGUUUGAUCCUGGCUCAGAACGAACGCUGGCGGCAUGCCUAACACAUGCAAGUCGAACGAGACCUUCGGGUCUAGUGGCGCACGGGUGCGUAACGCGUGGGAAUCUGCCCUUGGGUUCGG